AGAGUUUGAUUAUGGCUCAGGAUGAACGCUGGCGGCGUGCCUAACACAUGCAAGUCGAGCGGAGCGAUCUUGAUGAAGUUUUCGGAUGGAAUCAGGAUUGUCUUAGCGGCGGACGGGUGAGUAACACGUGGAUAACCUGCCUUAUACUGGGGGAUAACAGCCAGAAAUGGCUGCUAAUACCGCAUAAGCGCACGGCGCCGCAUGGCGCAGUGUGAAAAACUCCGGUGGUAUAAGAUGGAUCCGCGCCUGAUUAGCUAGUUGGCGGGGCAGCGGCCCACCAAGGCGACGAUCAGUAGCCGGCCUGAGAGGGCGACCGGCCACAUUGGGACUGAGACACGGCCCAAACUCCUACGGGAGGCAGCAGUGGGGAAUAUUGCACAAUGGGGGGAACCCUGAUGCAGCGACGCCGCGUGAGUGAAGAAGUAUUUCGGUAUGUAAAGCUCUAUCAGCAGGGAAGAAGAUGACGGUACCUGACUAAGAAGCCCCGGCUAACUACGUGCCAGCAGCCGCGGUAAUACGUAGGGGGCAAGCGUUAUCCGGAUUUACUGGGUGUAAAGGGAGCGUAGACGGCAGGGCAAGUCUGGAGUGAAAGCCCGGGGCCCAACCCCGGGACUGCUUUGGAAACUGCCAUGCUGGAGUGCUGGAGAGGUAAGCGGAAU
rnacentral:rRNA from 1 species